rnacentral:rRNA from 1 species
CACGUAGGGGGCGAGCGUUGUCCGGAGUGAUUGGGCGUAAAGAGCUCGUAGGCGGCUUGUCGCGUCGACCGUGAAAACUCACAACUCAAUUGUGGGCGUGCGGGCGAUACGGGCAGACUGGAGUACUGCAGGGGAGACUGGAAUUCCUGGUGUAGCGGUGAAAUGCGUAGAGAUCCGGAGGAACACCAGUGGCGAAGGCGACACGCUGGGCCGUACCUGACACUGAUGCGCGACAGCAUGGGGAGCAAACAGG